rnacentral:rRNA from 1 species
CCUACGGGUGGCAGCAGUCAGGAAUCUUUCUCAAUGGGCGCGAGCCUGAUCCAGCCACGCAGCGUGAAGGAUUACUGCCCUUCGGGUUGUAAACUUCUUUUAUAAAGGAAUAAAGUGAGGCACGUGUGCCUCUUUGUAUGUACUUUAUGAACACGGAUCGGCUAACUCCGUGCCAGCAGCCGCGGUAAUACGGAGGCUCCGAGCGUUAUCCGGAGUUAUUGGGGUUAUAGGUCGUGUAGGUGGGUUGUUAAGUCAGUUGUGAAAGUUUGCGGCUCAACCGUAAAAUCGCAAGUGAUACUGGCAGACUUGAGUACAGGUGAGGGAGGCGGAAUUCGUGGUGUAGCAGUGAAAUGCUUAGAUAUCGCGAAGAACUCCGAUGGCGAAGGCAGCCUACUAAACUGCCACUGACACUGAUGCUCGAAAGUGUGGGUAUCGAACGGGAUUAGAUACCCGUGUAGUC